rnacentral:rRNA from 1 species
UGGGGAAUUUUGGACAAUGGGCGAAAGCCUGAUCCAGCAAUGCCGCGUGUGUGAAGAAGGCCUUCGGGUUGUAAAGCACUUUUGUCCGGAAAGAAAUCCUUGGCUCUAAUACAGUCGGGGGAUGACGGUACCGGAAGAAUAAGCACCGGCUAACUACGUGCCAGCAGCCGCGGUAAUACGUAGGGUGCAAGCGUUAAUCGGAAUUACUGGGCGUAAAGCGUGCGCAGGCGGUUUGCUAAGACCGAUGUGAAAUCCCCGGGCUCAACCUGGGAACUGCAUUGGUGACUGGCAGGCUAGAGUAUGGCAGAGGGGGGUAGAAUUCCACGUGUAGCAGUGAAAUGCGUAGAGAUGUGGAGGAAUACCGAUGGCGAAGGCAGCCCCCUGGGCCAAAUACUGACGCUCAUGCACGAAAAGCGUGGGGAGCAAAACAGGAUUAGAUACCCUGGUAGUCCACGCCCUAAACGAUGUCAACUAGUUGUUGGGGAUUCAUUUCCUUAGUAACGUAGCUAACGCGUGAAGUUGACCGCCUGGGGAGUACGGUCGCAAGAUUAAAACUUAAAUGAAUUGACGGGGUCAUAGCUGUUUCCU